rnacentral:lncRNA from 1 species
CUCAACCCAUCCGCCGGCCUCGGCCUCACAAAGUGCUAGGGUUACAGGCGCGAGCCACCGUGCCUGGCCACCUAAAGUCCAUAGUUGAUUCUGAUUGCCUUAGUUUUUGCUUAAUGUCCUUUUUCUGUUCCAGGAUACCACAUGGAGCAUUUUGAGGAGUGCUGGCCAGGUAUUUUGUAGAAUGUUCCUCAACUGGGAUUUGGCAGAUGCUUCUCAUCCUUAGUCUUGGCUUGUGUGUGUUUUGAGGAGGAGGACCACAGAGCUUAAGAAUCAUUCUCAGCACUCUGUAUCAGGCACGCAUUCUCUCAAGAUGACUUGCCGCUAUUGAAGUUGACUUUGAUCACCUGGCUGAGGAUCGACAUUUGUUCAAGAAGCCUGGUUCCUUUUACUGGAGAAUGGUGUUUAUUGGAGAACAGAGACCUGGGCACCAGAGGAGGAUCAGAGGACUUCUGUCCUGAGAUUGCCAGAAAAAUGAUGAACAGAAAAUUAUACACAACCGAACAGGCCCAACUUUCAAAUGGACUGAGAAUGACCCACACAAGUUCCACCGAGGCCAAGGGUGACCUGCAGCCAGCGACAGGGAAAGACUGCCACUUACUGGCGGCCUCCGGAACUGGAAGGAGUGUACUGACAAUUGUAUCUUUCGCAAGCUCUUAACCUUUAUACCGUCAAUAAAAACCCCAUUAACAUUUAAAAGGGAUGUUUCUGGGUGUCCACUUGGAAUAAGAGUUGGAAAACACUCCAAGAAAUGGAUCCUGUAUUAAUAUCACAUCUGUCCCAGAUCUCCAACACUGUUCACUUUCCUUCCACGGUGCCAACACCAAGCUAGCUGAUAGGUGGGAACAGGGCAGCUCUGCGGUUGGCCCCCAAGAGCCAGGGAGUCCCCCAAGCUGACCCCCUGGGGUGGCAGUGGCACCUAACAAGAACUUCCACCUUGUUUUCCCUCUCUCUGUUUUGUCCUUUUGGACUCUGCUCACGCAUCACAUCCAGAAAGUUCCCUAAGCUCUCCAGUGGGAUGAGAACUCUGCUCUGUGCUCCUGUGGUCCUCCAUGUUCCUCCACCUGGAGGCCCUCGGCUCCCUGCAUUACCCCUGUCUACUUACUGACUUGCCUUCUACCCAGUGAUGGGCCAUGUGCUGUGAGGGCACACACUGUGUGCCCAUCUAUUCAUUCCUCUGUGCGUGCGUUCAUUCAUUCCUUACUGAAUGCCCACCAAGUGCCAAGCAUUGGGGUACGAAGAACAAGGCAGACGGGGCCUCCCUGGCCUCUUCCAGCUCGCUGUAGAGUGUUGUCUACCCUACUCAUCCUCACAUACCCAUGCCUGUCCUAUGUGGCACUCAAUAAAUGUCGGAUGGAUGGAUGUGUCCCCUCCUUCAAUAUCACUUAAUUCACUUGAUGACUUCCUGUGAGGAUUAAGUUUAGCUGUUAAAAUGCUGUGACUUCCUCUGGAUCUCUGAUGCAAGCCGGCAACGUUUAAGCCUCACCCGGCCGACGUAGGCAUUUUGUUUGGCCAAAGUGUGUGGUUUUCUUAAAAAAACACUGCAUUUGUGGCUAACAUUUAAAAUUGGGAAAAUUUCACGUAAAUCUUUGUUUUUCUGGCUUCUCUAGAAAAAUGAACGCACAUUUCUGCACAGCAGGGGUGAGCCAGAGCUGAGUCCCUAAGCUUCCCUUAGACGUGGUGGGCACACUUCAACUUGCCACAACCUCCACUAUCUCCGAUUUCUCUAUCAC